rnacentral:rRNA from 1 species
UAGGGGGCAAGCGUUAUCCGGAUUUACUGGGUGUAAAGGGAGCGUAGACGGUUGUAUAAGUCUGAAGUGAAAGCCCGGGGCCCAACCCCGGGACUGCUUUGGAAACUGUGGAACUAGAGUACAGGAGGGGCAGGCGGAAUUCCUGGUGUAGCGGUGAAAUGCGUAGAUAUCAGGAGGAACACCGGCGGCGAAGGCGGCCUGCUGGACUGAAACUGACGUUGAGGCUCGAAAGCGUGGGGAGCAAA